rnacentral:rRNA from 1 species
AACGAACGCUGGCGGCAUGCCUAACACAUGCAAGUCGAACGAGACCUUCGGGUCUAGUGGCGCACGGGGGCGUAACGCGUGGGAACCUGCCCUUAGGUUCGGAAUAACUCCCCGAAAGGGGUGCUAAUAACGGAUAAUGUCUUCGGACCAAAGAUUUAUCGCCUUUGGAUGGGCCCGCGUUGGAUUAGCUAGUUGGUAGGGUAAAAGCCUACCAAGGCGACGAUCCAUAGCUGGUCUGAGAGGAUGAUCAGCCACACUGGGACUGAGACACGGCCCAGAAUCCUACGGGAGGCAGCAGUGGGGAAUAUUGGACAAUGGGCGAAAGCCUGAUCCAGCAAUGCCGCGUAAGUGAUGAAGGCCUUAGGGUUGUAAAGCUCUUUUACCCGGGAUGAUAAUGACAGUACCGGGAGAAUAAGCUCCGGCUAACUCCGUG